rnacentral:rRNA from 1 species
UACGGAGGGGGCUAGCGUUGUUCGGAAUUACUGGGCGUAAAGAGCUCGUAGGCGGCUCGUUGCGUCGGCUGUGAAAACCCGCAGCUCAACUGUGGGCUUGCAGCUGAUACGGGCGGGCUGGGAUUCGGUAGGGGAGACUGGAAUUCCUGGUGUAGCGGUGAAAUGCGCAGAUACCAGGAGGAACACCGGUGGCGAAGGCGGGUCUCUGGGCCGAUAUCGACGCUGAGGAGCGAAAGCGUGGGGAGCGAACAGG